GAGUUUGAUCCUGGCUCAGAUUGAACGCUGGCGGCAUGCCUUACACAUGCAAGUCGAACGGUAACAGGUCUUCGGAUGCUGACGAGUGGCGAACGGGUGAGUAAUACAUCGGAACGUGCCCGAUCGUGGGGGAUAACGGAGCGAAAGCUUUGCUAAUACCGCAUACGAUCUACGGAUGAAAGCAGGGGACCGCAAGGCCUUGCGCGGACGGAGCGGCCGAUGGCAGAUUAGGUAGUUGGUGGGAUAAAAGCUUACCAAGCCGACGAUCUGUAGCUGGUCUGAGAGGACGACCAGCCACACUGGGACUGAGACACGGCCCAGACUCCUACGGGAGGCAGCAGUGGGGAAUUUUGGACAAUGGGCGAAAGCCUGAUCCAGCCAUGCCGCGUGCAGGAUGAAGGCCUUCGGGUUGUAAACUGCUUUUGUACGGAACGAAAAGACUCUUUCUAAUAAAGAGGGUCCAUGACGGUACCGUAAGAAUAAGCACCGGCUAACUACGUG
rnacentral:rRNA from 1 species